rnacentral:snRNA from 1 species
GGAUUUGAGGAUGAUCUGGCUCUGAUAUCUGUCACCCCAUUGAUUGCUGAUGUUGAUUCUGCUGAUCUGGCUGGCUAGGCGGGUGCCCCCUUCCUCCCACACUGUUCCAUGUGCGUCCCUCCCUGAGUUGCACGCUUGGUCAAAGAGGACGACAUUUCCCCGAAGAGAGACAGAGUGGUUUUCAGUUGAGGGUAUACUGGUAGCUGUGCUUCCCUGCUAGAACCUCCAAACAAGCUCUCAAGGCCCAUUUGUAGCAGAAUGGAGGGUAGUUAAGCUUCCAAGACUCCAGACACAUCCAAAUGAGGCACUGCAUGCGGCAAUCUACCCUUU